UGGGGAAUAUUGCACAAUGGGCGAAAGCCUGAUGCAGCAACGCCGCGUGAGUGAUGAAGGUCUUCGGAUUGUAAAGCUCUGUCUUUUGGGACGAUAAUGACGGUACCAAAGGAGGAAGCCACGGCUAACUACGUGCCAGCAGCCGCGGUAAUACGUAGGUGGCGAGCGUUGUCCGGGUUUACUGGGCGUAAAGGGUGCGUAGGCGGAUGUUUAAGUGAGAUGUGAAAUACCCGGGCUUAACUUGGGUGCUGCAUUUCAAACUGGAUAUCUAGAGUGCAGGAGAGGAGAAUGGAAUUCCUAGUGUAGCGGUGAAAUGCGUAGAGAUUAGGAAGAACACCAGUGGCGAAGGCGAUUCUCUGGACUGUAACUGACGCUGAGGCACGAAAGCGUGGGUAGCAAACAGGAUUAGAUACCCUGGUAGUCCACGCCGUAAAACGAUGAGUACUAGGUGUAGGAGGUAUCGACCCCUUCUGUGCCGCAGUAAACACAUUAAGUACUCCGCCUGGGAAGUACGAUCGCAAGAU
rnacentral:rRNA from 1 species